AUGCAAGUUUUUGCGUGGAGUUUUAUUUACUUAAAUAGUGGAUAAAUUUUAUUGUAGCCGCAGUAAUUAAUAUUAUUAAUCAAGGGAACUUGGAGAUAGUAAUUUUAUAGAGUAUUGGCUAAAUUUGUGCCAGCAGCCGCGGUUAUACUAAUAAUGCAAAUGAAUCUUUUUCGGCAUAAGUUAAAUUUAAUAAUUAAAAUAAAGGUAGAUUUAUUAAGUGAAAUUUUAAAUCUAUAAAAUUUUUGUUAAUGAGUUGUUGAUGCUUGUAAAUUUUAAUUAUAAACUANGAUUAGAUACCCUAUUAUUUAAAAUGUAAUUUUAUUGCUAAGGUAGUAGUAGUUAUGUUCUUGAAACUUAAAAAAUUUGGCGGUAUUUUAGUCUAUUCAGAGGAACCUGUUCUAUAAUCGAUAAUCCACGUUGGACCUUACUUGAGUUGUUUUUCAGUUUAUAUACCGUCGUUAUCAGAAAUUUUUAUUAGAAUAAUAAUUUUCUAGCUUUUUUAUGUGAAUUUAUAUCAGAUCAAGGUGUAGCUAAUGCUUAAGAAGAAAUGGGUUACAAUAAAUUUAUUUAGAUGGAGUUAAAUUUGAAAUGUUUAAUGAAAGUGGAUUUGAUAGUAAAAUUAUAAAGAUUGUUAAUUUGAUUUUAGCUCUAAAAUAUGCACACAUCGCCCGUCGCUCUUGCUAUUAAGGUAAGAUAAGUCGUAACAUAGUAGAUGUA
rnacentral:rRNA from 1 species